rnacentral:rRNA from 1 species
GCAUAUCAAUAAGCGGAGGAAAAGAAACUAACAAGGAUUCCCCUAGUAACUGCGAGUGAAGCGGGAAAAGCUCAAAUUUAAAAUCUGGUGGUCUCCGGCCAUCCGAGUUGUAAUCUAGAGAAGUGUUACCCGCGUCGGACCGUGUACAAGUCUCCUGGAAUGGAGCGUCAUAGAGGGUGAGAAUCCCGUCUUUGACACGGACUACCGAGGCUUUGUGGUGCGCUCUCAAAGAGUCGAGUUGUUUGGGAAUGCAGCUCAAAAUGGGUGGUAAAUUCCAUCUAAAGCUAAAUAUUGGCGAGAGACCGAUAGCGAACAAGUACCGUGAGGGAAAGAUGAAAAGAACUUUGGAAAGAGAGUUAAACAGUACGUGAAAUUGCUGAAAGGGAAACGCUUGAAGUCAGUCGCGUUGGCCGGAAAUCAGCCUUGCUUUUGCGGGGUGUACUUUCUGGUUGACGGGCCAGCAUCAGUUUUGACCGGUGGAAAAAGUCCAAGGGAAUGUGGCAUCUUCGGAUGUGUUAUAGCCCUUGUUCGUAUACAUCGAUUGGGACUGAGGAACUCAGCACGCCGAAAGGCCGGGUCUUUGACCACGUUCGUGCUUAGGAUGCUGGCAUAAUGGCUUUAAUCGACCCGUCUUGAAACACGGACCAAGGAGUCUAACAUGCCUGCGAGUGUUUGGGUGGAAAACCCGGACGCGCAAUGAAAGUGAAAGUUGAGAUCCUUGUCAUGGGGAGCAUCGACGCCCGGACCAGAAGUUUUCUGACGGCCCUGCGGUAGAGCAUGUAUGUUGGGACCCGAAAGAUGGUGAACUAUGCCUGAAUAGGGUGAAGCCAGAGGAAACUCUGGUGGAGGCUCGUAGCGAUUCUGACGUGCAAAUCGAUCGUCAAAUUUGGGUAUAGGGGCGAAAGACUAAUCGAACCAUCUAGUAGCUGGUUCCUGCCGAA